GCAGAGGGGCGGGCCUUCGGCGGUGACGUGGAGAACGACCGUUAUCCGUGAUGAUGAAGAGAAUCAGUUAUCUUUAUAACGCUGACUCACUGAACCGGACGGAAGGCAACUUCAGAAGACGGCAAGCUGGCGACCAGAGCAGGAAAGGAAGGCAAGAAGGAGGAGGAGGUGAAAGAGGAAGAAGAGAAGUAUGUGGUGGAGGACGUUUUGGAGCGCAGAGUGGUGAAGGGAAGAGUAGAGUUUCUGCUGAAAUGGAAGGGCUUCUCGGAUGAGGAUAACACAUGGGAGCCACAAGACAACCUGGACCUGGACCUUAUCGCCGAGUACAUGCAGAAAGACAAGGAGAUGGAGAAGAAGAAGAAGGAGGGCAAG